rnacentral:tRNA from 1 species
UUAGGAGUUUCUAAGAAUUGUAAAUUCUUAAUAGGCCCAAUUAAGCCCCCUAUC